CCCUUAGAUGUUCUGGGCCGCACGCGCGCUACACUGAUGCAUUCAACGAGUUCCUACCUUGGCCGAGAGGCCUGGGCAAUCUUUUGAACUUACAUCGUGAUAGGGAUAGAUUAUUGCAAUUAUUAAUCUUGAACGAGGAAUUCCUAGUAAACGCAGAUCAUCAAUCUGCAUUGAUUACGUCCCUGCCCUUUGUACACACCGCCCGUCGCACCUACCGAUUGAAUGGUCCGGUGAAGCCUCGGGAUUGUGGUUAGUUUCCUUCAUUGGAAGUUAGCCGCGAGAACUUGUCUAAACCUUAUCAUUUAGAGGAAGGUGAAGUCGUAACA
rnacentral:rRNA from 1 species